ensembl:scaRNA
UUGUCCUGGCCUAUGCUUUUUAUGCUCUGCUGUGCUCAGUUCUAACAGGAUGGGCUGGCAGCACACACAGCAAUCUCCUUCUCAGUUUAGGAGGGCUGUCCUAAGACUAGGGCUGGCUCGUAAAGGCACCAGUGGACAAU